UGAAUCACUAAUAUGGGCCUUCUGCAC
rnacentral:piRNA from 1 species